rnacentral:rRNA from 1 species
ACAGUGUCUGGUGGGUAGUUUGACUGGGGCGGUCUCCUCCUAAAGAGUAACGGAGGAGCACGAAGGUUGGCUAAUCCUGGUCGGACAUCAGGAGGUUAGUGCAAUGGCAUAAGCCAGCUUGACUGCGAGCGUGACGGCGCGAGCAGGUGCGAAAGCAGGUCAUAGUGAUCCGGUGGUUCUGAAUGGAAGGGCCAUCGCUCAACGGAUAAAAGGUACUCCGGGGAUAACAGGCUGAUACCGCCCAAGAGUUCAUAUCGACGGCGGUGUUUGGCACCUCGAUGUCGGCUCAUCACAUCCUGGGGCUGAAGUAGGUCCCAAGGGUAUGGCUGUUCGCCAUUUAAAGUGGUACGCGAG